UCCAUGUACACGAGCAGAUCUAGGAUUAGAAGUAUGUCAUAACUUGAAGACAACUCAAAAUUUAUUUUUAGGCUGCGUGAAUCUUUCAAGGUUCUGGAUUUCAGAAACAAACCCCACUGUAGCUCGUGUAAGCAAAAAAAAAAAGAAUUUUAUUAAAGGUUUGAAGUAGUUCUCAGAAUCUCAAUAAGGGCCAGAGAAUCAACCAUAGAUGCUCUGAGACAAGGAGCCACAUGCUCCUGGGGAUGGCUCCAGGGGACACCCCACUGUCGGUAGGUACAGACAGCCCAGCUCUUGCCCCCACUGGUGGACACCAGAAGCUGCUGCUAGAACCUCUGGCCACCGUCUCUGCAAGUUGCCACCUCUCCCUCUCCCUGCCACAACGGAUUCCUUGAGGUACCUCGCUCACUUCCGCAUGGAGGUCUCAGUCAGUUGGGACUGAUUGGCAGAACCUAGACCCUAUAUCCCCAAAUCUAACAUGUCAAGAAAAUUUCUGAAUUCUCGGGAGCACAAACUCUUUGAAAUUAGUACAUUCUCCAAAUAUAAAAUGGGUCCAAAUGUAAUGGAUGUCCAAAAAGUACGACAGAGGUCCCCUUCAGUGAAGUAGUUUAACCUCAGCCUCCCCCAGGCGCCUGGAGAGACGGAGUCACACCUUUCCAGGCUAAGGAUGCAACAGUGAGCAGAACAAAGAUCAUCCUUUAUGGAGCUUGCGUUUUAAUAGCAGAGAGCUUCCAAAGUGAAGUAACAGAUUAGCUACAGAUGGACAAGAAUCAGAUUGAUAUUAGACUUCUCGGUGGCAAUACUGGAUAGAAGAGACAACAGAAUGAUAUCUUCAAUGUUCUGAGGAAAAUUUCUUUCUAUGUAGUUUUCUCUUGAGGCAAACUCUCCCUCAGAUGGGAGCAAAUAAAAGCGUUUUUCGACAUGCAUGGGUAUGAAAGUCAACCUUCCACGAGUCCUCUCUGAAAGAGUUACUAAUUUCAAACAUCCCCUUUAUCAAACACCGUUUCAGUUUAUUUUUAGGUAUUUUCUUUUUUGCUAUUGCAAUUUGGGUCUUUAUUUCCAUUACGUUUUCUUUCUUUUUUUAUUGAAGUAUAAUUUACAUAUAUCCAUUAUGUUUCUCACAGGUUGUUGUUUGUCUAGACAAAGGCAGUUGAUUUUUACACACUGAUUUUGUAUCCAGCCAUCUCAUAAGUUCUCAUAUUGUUUGCAAUAGAUUUGUAACUGAGUUUCUUGGGUUUCCCAGGUAUACAGUUAUCUGUAAAUAGAAAUAAAU
rnacentral:lncRNA from 1 species